UUUUUUUUUUAAUCAAAUGUGCCUUUUUGAAACCAAAAUCUGCUGUUCCUCAUCAAAUAAAACAGUGUCAACUUUUCUGCAAAGCAGAUCUUUGUUCAAGCACAGAAAGAGGUACAAUUCAUCCUGCUGUAUAUUUUAUAUGUGCAUAUAUACUACAGGCUGAGUUUAGUAUGUUAAGUUGACAGAAAGUACCUAAGGAGAUGAUAUUUUUCCUCAAAAUAAUUUUUUUUUUUUUUUUUUUUUUUUUAAUAUUCUUGUUCCUCUUCUCCUGUUUGUCAGUUGAAGAACUACAAAACUACUGUCUACCCUAUCCCAACUGCUCACAUUUCCUCUUUGUGCCAGAAUUUUCUUCAGGAACAGUUCAAACAACAUCCAAAGCUCCUCUGUGUGGCCCUUCAGCUCCUUGUCUUAUAGGAUAUGUCUUCUUUGUCCCUGCUGCUCGGAUCUCACCCAGUGGCCUGUGGCAGACUCCUCCUAAACCUGGAAAAUUCUCACAGGUUUCUUCAAACACAUUUAGGAAGAAAAUGCAACUGAAAAUGGCAAAUACAAAUCCAGGUACAGGAAUGAGAGGCGAAACUGAAAUUCAUGGAUUAUUAAGUCCUGAAGAUGGCAGCAGAGGGACAAUCUGACAUGGAAGUGCAAUGAAGAAAAGGUGUGGAACUGAAUUCCUCCAUGCAGAGUAAAUGACAUCCAUUGACAUUAACUGGCACUUGCUGAAUGUUUAUGGAGACCAAACAGUGGAUAUGAGAACAGAGAGAAACCGUGUUCUCCAGCUGAAAAUUUGCUCUAUCAAAUAGUUUUACUGUGUUCUUCGUAUCUGUUGUAGUUUCCAUGGAAGUAAAGAGAAGCCAUUAUUUUCAGAAAAACCUACAUAAAUUAAAACAAAAAAUUCUCUAAACAAUAAAAUGUUGUUCAUGCAGAAAUACCAUGUCUGCUAAAACAUGUAAAAAUCCUUAUUCUAGAUGGUGGCAACAACUUAGAUAAACAGAAAUGGAGGCAAGAUUUCUGUUUUCAGAAGUGACUACUGAUCUUGGAUGGUCAGUGCAAGACAAGUUGUGCAACCUCAGCUUUUCAAAGUUCUGAAAACUAAAAAGUUUCUCUGAUCAAGCUUAUUCUCUAUUCUGUUGCUGAAAAUGAAUCCUAAGAGUUUUACUAACAUUCACUAACAGACUUGGUCAAGGAGUUAUGAAAUCCCAUUUUACAGUACAGUUAGGUCUUUCUGAACCCAU
ensembl:lncRNA